CAGCCUCGCCCAGCUGUCCACCCGGCCGCAGGACUCGCUUGUGACCCAGGCGGGCCACUCACAGUCACGCACCGUGAAAUGCCUACUGGGUGUCGCCCGCCGUCUUAGGCGCGGGGACACGGCGUGGAGGGACAGGCAUGGUCCCGGGCCUGGGGGACCGGAGUGCUGGGAGGGGCCAUCGCGGUGGCACCUUCGCACCCUCACCUCCUUCCAGCCUUAGCUCGGUCGGCGUCUGCGUUCACCCUACGAUGAGGAAACCGAGGCUCUGAACGAUCGGCUGGCGCUAGUAUCACACAGCUGAGGUUUGUCCGUGGCCCAGCUUUCCUCCCAAAGCCUGAGUAAUGUAGAAAAAUCGCAGCCCAGCAUAAACGAGUCAGCCUAGGGGCCACCCGGGAUCACGCUGGCAAGCGGAAUUCUUGGCUCAAUCACUCCGAAGAGAAGAGAAGAGAAGAAAAUGGUAUAUGAUGAAGUCUCCUUCCCUCCCCUUUUCCCCUCGUGUCUGGCUUCCUACCUCACCUCCAUCUCAGGUACGAUUGUUGUUUUUCUCGUGUAUGCUCUUCCAGAGGUGUUUAUGCACAUGUAAACAGGUACAAGUAUCUCUGUAAACCCUCCCCCCACUUUACCCAAAGGUAGCAACACAAAAGGGUGUUUUGAGCAUACUGUUCUAUACCUUGUUUUGUGCGAUCAUGAAGUAGAUUGUGGAACUAUGCAUAGCAGUACACAGAGAGAAGGCCCCCCUCCCCUCUCUGUCUUCCCAGCUGCAGACUUCUCCACGGCACACCUUUAUCAUCAUCUAUUCAAUGGGGGGACUUCUGCUGCCACAAAUAAAGCUCAGUGAAUAACCUUGAAUAUAUUUUGCACACACUUGAGUAUGUCUAUAGCAGUGGCCAUGGGCUCCAGCUGCACAUGAGAAUGACGAAGGGGGCUUUUAAAAAUCCCACCCCCAAGCCAUACCUCAGAUCAAGUACAUCAGAAUCCCCGAGCCUGGGACCAGGGCACACAGGGAGCCCUGUGUGCUGUUGACAUCUAGAGGAAACUGGUCGCGAGCACAUAGACUUCUAAAUUUGCUAGAUAUUGACAAAUGGCUUCCAUGGAUGGUUCUACCAACUUGCCGUCUCACUGGCUUAUAUGAGAGGCCUGGGUGUUCACAGCCUCACUAACAAAACAUGCUUGUCAAACUUUGCUUUUUGCUAACCUGCUAGUUUUUUUUUUUUAAGAUAUCACAGUUUUGCUUUAAUUUGCAUUUUUCUUAUUAGGGCUUGAGAUUGAACAUCUUCUCAUGUGUUUAAGAGCCUUCUGAUCUGUCUGGUCAUAUCCUGUGCCCACUUUCCUUUUCUCUCUUUUUUUUUUUGGCCGUGCCACAUGCCUUGCAGGAUCUUAGUUCCCUGACCAGGGAUUGAACCCUGGGCCCCACGCAGUGGAAACAGAGAGUCCUAACCACUGGACCGCCAGGGAAUUCCCUCUUUUCUCUUUUUUAGGUUGGUUUCUCUACACGUCAGCAAGACAAAUUCUUUGUGAUUUGAGUUGCAAAUACUUUCUACUGCCUUGCCUUUUGUUUUGUUUUGUUUUUUCCCAUUGAAGAAGACUUUUUACAUAUUUGAAUGUAUCCAUCUUUUGUUAUGGCUUCUGUGGUUUUUUGUUUUGUUUUGUUUUUUCCGUACCACGGGCCCAGCCGCUCCGCGGCAUGUGGGACCUUCCCGAACCGGGGCACGAACCCGUGUCCCCUGCAUCGGCAGGCGGACUCUCAACCACUGCGCCACCAGGGAAGCCCCGCUUCUGUGUUUUGAGUCAUCGUUAGAAAGACCUUUCUCAUUCUGGUCUUAUAAAGGAAGCUUCCCACGUUUUCUUCUGGCACUUUGUGGUUUCCUUAAUUUACAGGCAAAUCUUUGAUCCUUUUGGCAUUUACCCUGAUCUGUGGUGUGAGGUAUGGAUCCAUCUUUGUUCUUCUUUCUAGUGGCUGAUGGUCCCAUUACCUUUAUCAAGAAGUAAGGUAGGAGCUGCAUCAAACUGGAAUUUCUUUGUUUUUGUCUUUGUAUUUAUAGCAACAUCAGCUCCCACUUUCCUGUAAAUGUGGUCCCAUCCACCCCCUCCCCCCAUUUACCUGUUCGAUGCUUGAUCGGUUGAUUUUUGUUUGUUUGCCAUUGAGAAUUUUAUUACUAAUCGGACAUUGUUCUGACCUUUGGGGUUUCUAUUUAGGAUUUAUUUUAGUUAAUAACCAACAACGAUGACCUUUUGUUGAAGGUCUAAUAUAUCUGUUUAUAAGUAUCGGUUCCAUUAAUCAUAAAGCAAACCUAUGGUGUCAGUACUAUUAUUAUUCCAUUGGAGGAAAGUAAUCAGAGAGCUUUUCAGCCUUGUCCAAGGGCCCACAGUUAAAAAGAGGCAGGGCUAGAUGCAAUGCAAGAGCCAGGUCUCUGGGGUCUGGGCUUUUUACUUGCCUUGACCCUGUAACUCAUCUUUGUGGAAUGAUUGCAGGAAGGAAUGAAUGAGUGAGUCAGUGAGGGCAGAAAGAAGACAGAAUGAGUCAGCUCCUGCCCUCGGAGGAACCCAAAGGGGGAGAUAAACUGUGAAUGCCAAUAACCGGAACACAAAGUAAACAGUGAUCCCACCAGCAUUUUGGAAGCAGUCCACUUUCUAUUCCCUCCUAUUUAAAAACGCUUAAUUCUUUCCAAUUCCUCCCUACCUAGAAACCAGGGAGCCAUACACUGGGGCAGGGGCAGUCUCCUUGGGUUUGAUGCAUUAAGUCACCCACUUGGAGAUCCCCUGUGGAGCCCAGCAGCCUGGU